GUUAUCGUUUAUUUGAUAGUACCUUACUACUUGGAUAACCGUGGUAAUUCUAGAGCUAAUACAUGCUGAAAACCCCAACUUCGGGAGGGGUGUAUUUAUUAGAUAAAAAACCAACGCCCUUCGGGGCUUCUUGGUGAUUCAUGAUAUCUUAACGGAUCGCAUGGCCUUGCGCCGGCGACGGUUCAUUCAAAUUUCUGCCCUAUCAACUUUCGAUGGUAAGGUAUUGGCUUACCAUGGUUUCAACGGGUAACGGGGAAUUAGGGUUCGAUUCCGGAGAGGGAGCCUGAGAAACGGCUACCACAUCCAAGGAAGGCAGCAGGCGCGCAAAUUAUCCAAUCCCGACACGGGGAGAUAGUGACAAUAAAUACUGAUACAGGGCUCUUUUGGGUCUUGUAAUUGGAAUGAGUACAAUUUAAACCUCUUAACGAGGAACAAUUGGAGGGCAAGUCUGGUGCCAGCAGCCGCGGUAAUUCCAGCUCCAAUAGCGUAUAUUAAAGUUGUUGCAGUUAAAAAGCUCGUAGUUGAACCUUGG
rnacentral:rRNA from 1 species